CCUACGGGUGGCAGCAGUGAGGAAUAUUGGUCAAUGGACGAGAGUCUGAACCAGCCAAGUAGCGUGAAGGAUGACUGCCCUAUGGGUUGUAAACUUCUUUUAUAUGGGAAUAAAAUGUUCCACGUGUGGGAUUUUGUAUGUACCAUAUGAAUAAGGAUCGGCUAACUCCGUGCCAGCAGCCGCGGUAAUACGGAGGAUCCGAGCGUUAUCCGGAUUUAUUGGGUUUAAAGGGAGCGUAGGUGGAAUGUUAAGUCAGUUGUGAAAGUUUGCGGCUCAACCGUAAAAUUGCAGUUGAAACUGGCAGUCUUGAGUACAGUAGAGGUGGGCGGAAUGCGUGGUGUAGCGGUGAAAUGCUUAGAUAUCACGAAGAACUCCGAUUGCGAAGGCAGUUCACUGGACUGCAACUGACACUGAGGCUCGAAAGUGUGGGUAUCAAACAGGAUUAGAUACCCCUGUAGUC
rnacentral:rRNA from 1 species